CCUACGGGGGGCUGCAGUGGGGAAUAUUGGACAAUGGGGGGAACCCUGAUCCAGCCAUGCCGCGUGUGUGAAGAAGGCCCUCGGGUUGUAAAGCACUUUCAGUGAGGAAGAACGCCUGGUGGUUAAUACCCAUCAGGAAAGACAUCACUCACAGAAGAAGCACCGGCUAACUCCGUGCCAGCAGCCGCGGUAAUACGGAGGGUGCGAGCGUUAAUCGGAAUUACUGGGCGUAAAGCGCGCGUAGGUGGCUUGAUAAGCCGGUUGUGAAAGCCCCGGGCUCAACCUGGGAACGGCAUCCGGAACUGUCAAGCUAGAGUGCAGGAGAGGAAGGUAGAAUUCCCGGUGUAGCGGUGAAAUGCGUAGAGAUCGGGAGGAAUAGCAGUGGCGAAGGCGGCCUUCUGGACUGACACUGACACUGAGGUGCGAAAGCGUGGGUAGCAAACAGGAUUAGAUACCCGAGUAGUC
rnacentral:rRNA from 1 species